rnacentral:lncRNA from 1 species
AACAGCAGGGGUUUUUGUGAGUGGUCCUUCUGGGAACAAUGACACUGAAGCGCACGUGCACAAGACGACUCCAUUUUUUUCUUUCAGUGUUUGAACGAAUACAUCGUCACCCGGUUGGAAUAUUAUCGCUAUUUUACGAGAAAAAUAGCAUAAACAUUUAUUUUAAACAGCAUUUGACAUGCUUCGAAGUACGGUAAUGGAAUAUUUUGAAAUUUUUUGUCACGAAAUGUGCCGGCCUGUCACCCUUCGGAUAGUGACUUGAACGCACAAACAAAACGGAGCUAUUUGGAUAUAACUAUGGAUUAUUUCGAACCAAAACAACAUUUGUUGUUGAAGUAGAAGUCCUGGGAGUGCAUUCUUACGAAGAACAGCAAAGAAUACUGCCUCAGAAAUUAUGGAAGCAGCAGAAGAUUACACCAUCUUCCAGAUGAUCGAGGAACAGGGUCAUCUACUCCACCAACACCACAAACAGUUGGCUCUUCUGUGUAUGACCAUGAAGGAGGUCUUCCGCAUUCUCCACCGCCUCGACACCGCUAGCGAUGUUCUCCAUACCUCUAACAGACGGCCUCCUCCUACGGGUUGUCAGAGUGAGCCAGUCCCC